GGGCAGGGCACGAGCCUUGUGUCCCCGAGGGGGGGUGUCCCCCCUCCCCAUGACCCCACUGGCCACCACGGGGCAGAUCCGUGUUCCUGGGCCUGGUUUGGGUGUCCAGCACCCAAAUUUGGGGGGGUUUUGGCUCCCUGACCUUGCUGGGGGGGGGAUCCCCAACCCCUCUGACCUUCGUGGGGAGCCAGGAGGGGCCGAGGGGGACGAGGGAUGGGGACAAAGACCCCCCCAGCCCCAAAUCCGUGGAUCCCAGCUCAGAAUUCCCUGUUUUUGGGGUAAAUGACCCCAAAUCCCUCCCUGGGGGGGCCUCUGCUGGGCUGGGGGCUGCUCUGGAGCUCUGACACCCCUUCAUGGAUUUUCUGACACUUCCAAGACAUCAAAGGGGUUGAAAUCCCCUUUUUUCUGACACUUCCAAGACAUCCAAGGGGUUGAAAUCCCCUUUUUUCUGACAUUUCCAAGACAUCCAAGGGGUUGAAAUCCGCUUUUUUCUGACACUUCCAAGACAUCCAAGGGGUUGAAAUCCGCUUUUUUCGGCCCAGCCCUGUCCCCAGGAAGUGGAAAAUGGUGCUAAAAUCCUGAUUUCUGAGCAGAGCAAGAACUUCCAGCCCAUCCUGGGGGUUCCUCCUCUCCUCCCUCCCCCAGGGGCACCUCAAUUCCAGGGGGAGCUGGGGAUGAAUUCUGGAUCGAUCCAGGCUGGGAUCUUCGUCCUGGGAUUGCAGCCAAAGCUUGGGAAUGGAUUUUUUUGGGAGCAAAUAAAGGAUUUAUUCCCCCCUUUUCGACUCCUGAGCCGUGUGUUUGUUCCAGCGCCUCCUGCUCCCAAGGGAUGGGGGAAAAAUGGGAGGGGAAAAAG